GGGCGUGUGGUCUAGUGGUAUGAUUCUCGCUUUGGGUAUGUGAGAGGCCCUGGGUUCAAUUCCCAGUAUGCCCC
rnacentral:tRNA from 2 species